rnacentral:rRNA from 1 species
UGACUGUACAAAGGUAGCAUAAUAAUUUGUCUCCUAAUUAGAGGCUAGAAUGAAAGGUCAAACGAGAUAAAAACUUUCUUAACUAUAAAAAUUAAAAUUUUCCUUUAAGUUAAAAGACUUAAAUUUUUUUAAAGGACGACAAGACCCUAUAGAACUUAAAAUUUUCUAAAAAUAAAAAGAAGAAAAAAUUUUACUGGGGAAGUAAAAAAAUAAAAAUUUUUUUUAAAAGAAUCUAUUUAAAGACUAAGAGAUCCUUAAAAAAGAAUAAAGAAAAAGUUACCUUAGGGAUAACAGAGUUAAAUUUUUUGAGAGACCAAAUCGAAAAAAAAUAUUGCUACCUCGAUGUUGAAUUAAGAUAAAUAAUAAUAGAAAAAAAUUAUUUUAUUAGGUCUGUUCGAUCAUUAAAAUCUU